AAUAAAGCCCUUUUCCUUGCCAUAGUCUCCACUAGACGGAUUUUACAAAUACCGGAGCCUUUCGAUAAUAAAUAAUUCUGGUUUUGUGAGGGCUUCCCCCCCCCCCCCUUCCGAUAUGUUGGGACCCGCGGUCGGGCGGCCCUUCCCGCCGACGGUCGCUCCCGCAGCGACCCGCCAAACCAUCAGCAGUACCCCCGGACAGUCGUGCCCCCCCGCCCCGGUAACCCCUCCGUCCGGCCCCCCAGCCGCCACACCGCGGCGCCGGGGGAAGGCGGGCGCCCCGGGGCUCGCACUGGCGGGGAGGCAGGCAGGGCGGGCGGCCGCCGGUCCCCUCACGCGGCAGGCGGCCCCGCUUCCCCCAGCGGGGCUCCGCUCGACCCCCGACUGCUUCCCCCACCCCCACUGCCGGCUCUGAGCCGGCUGCAACACCCUUAAGAAUGCCGGAACAUUCGUCAUAGUCACGUCAUGGCCCCCGCCCGCCAGCCCGACCUUGGUAAUGAGGCGGCGGGUCCGCCCCUUCAUGAAUAAUGCAUCGCACCGGGAGCCCCUCCCCCUGGCGCUGCUCUGACCAACGCCCGCGCAUACGGCGCCGACCAGCCGGAUGUGAAAGUACUCACUCGCUUCACGAUGAUCCUCCUCUCCAUACGGGAAGCUGAGGCUGUCAACAAACACCUAUUAUCAUCCCACGAAGUUGUGAGCAGAGACCUUCUGUUUCAUCGCAUCAGCACGUUUUCUUCUUAAGUGGGCAGAGGAAGGGCAUCCUCCAUCUUACGUGAGCCAUUAGAUCAUUUAUGAAUAUACUGAAGAGAACAAGUUCAAGUGCAGAUCCCUGAUCACUUCAUUCCCAUGUCUGUUAUAGGUCUUAGUUGCUAUUGGAUGUUUCCUUCCUCUUUGGAAGAUGUGAACAACUUCAGAGGAAUUCCUCAUCAGUAGAUGUUCAGAGAGGUGCUCCUACUUCUUCAACCCCCAGGCAAAACUUUACACUUCUCCAUCUCAAGAGAAUAUCUUUAACGUAGAUUUACUGACAUGUAAAGAAGCCCCUUUGGAGAGCCAAACCACAACACUAUGGAACAGACAGCUAUGUUUGGGUUUGAUUCUGAACAAAACCUUGCUCUUCUUUUCGUGAUACUUACAAAGUGCUAUGAGAUUGCAGCUGGGCUGUCCUCUUAUCCAAGUGCAAAUGGGAUCAAAAUCAGGGAAGGAAACUCACGGUGUAGUGAUUUCAUUGCACAGAUGCAGCCUCCUUCGCUCCCCACCCCGAGUACAACUGAUGUGGUUGAAUGAGGGCAAGCUCCAGGCAUCAUGGUUUGCUUUUGACCUCACUGCUCCUCAAGAUGCUACCACCUACCCAGCUGCUGUUUAGUAGAAGCUGGCUCUACAUUUUGGCAUUGAAUACCAGUUGGUUUGACCUCUAUAGCCCUGGCUUGCUGGCAGCUGACUGCAGAAGGUGUUUUCUCUCCCUAUGUAAAGUAUGCUCAACCACAGGUUUAGUUUGAUAAGUGGAAGUGCCAUGGUUCUGAAGCUUUCAUUUUCUCCACCAAGCCUGAAAUAAUUUGAGUCAGUUGAUUGCCAAGACAUAGUUAGAUUGUUGUCUGUUAUAAUGAGUUUUAGGAGAUGAGCUGUGAUGUGUACUCAGUCUGAAAAUGGGAUGGUUUUGUUUCAUUAGUACAAACUUUGCCAUGCAAUAUGGAAACAGUGAAUUGUGGGCGUCUUGUUCCAAGAACUGUAUUUUUAUGGCACAGGUGCCGAGAGCACCAGAUUGUUGCACUUGGGUUGUGUACAAAUCCAAACAGAUAAAAUCUAAGUGCUCUAUUUAUUAUGUGUGGCUUUAAAGAUCUUAUGUGUUGGUAUUGGUUAGAUGUAACUUGCACCAAGGUAAGUUUUAAACCAAAGUCAUUUCUGGGUGCAUAUUCUACAACGUCAUUUUCAGUUUGUAAUUACUGCCUAACAUAUUUGAUAAUUCUGUGCCCUUCAACUCUAUAACACUGUCUCAUGGGAAGUAAAUGAUUAAUUCUCUUACUUCAUCCCAAAAGGCAAAGGUAGUUUUUGUCAUUCCUUAAUUGUACACUUGCAUAUAUAAUAGAAGAAAGUACUCUGCUUUUCUGCCUAUUCUGUAUAAUGUCAUGCAGAAUAUAAGACACACUCACGAAUCUGGAAUCUCAGUCAAAAUACUUUACAAGUUGUUUCCUAUCUUGCGUAAAACUUUCCCACAGCCACAUGAGGAAUUCACUCAUGAAAAACUCCAACAGCCAUAUGGCAGAUCACUCCAAGCUAACAAGUAAUCCAGUAAACUUUUCAUUUCACAGCAACACAAAGUUUACCUCCACAAGUAAGGUCAGUAUCUUCUGAAGGAAGGGAGAAGUGUUCUACCUUGCUUUUUGAACAGACUAGCACUGGUAUCAGCUAGCUCCUGGAGCUGCAUGGCUCUGUGAAGACUCUCUCUAAACUCUGAAGGUGAACAUACUCUUAUUUUGUAGGAGCUGGUUAUACUCUUUCAGCAGAAUCUUUUCUUUCUGCCACUUGGCAUGUGCCACUGGGACAGUCUUUAGGAUUCUUGAAAUGCAAGGAAUAGGCAACGGUAGUAUCUCAGUGACAAUUCACACCCGUCUCACCAGAUAGCAGUGCUGUUCGUAUUUACUGCCACAUAUUGAUGACAUUAUAGCCAGAAUCCUUUUUAUAUCUACAGAGCUGUAGGAUGUUAUAUCCCUUUCUGAGACAUUAUCAUCCCAGCUUUCUUGCUAGUCAUGCUUUUGUACCUUCAGUACAAGGCUGGGACUUAGAAAUAAAGGUUAGGGCUUUAAUUUAGUUGUUGACCAUCUAUAAUGUAUACACACUGUAGUGAUUCAGGCAAAAUACAAAAAGACUGAAGCUUCUGUCAAAAUCCAAAUGAAUACUUGUGGUUUUACACACCCAAGCUUCCCCUGUUUCUCAGGGUUUGGUACUUUGUGUACUUGGCGGCUUUUGGAAGGGUCAGAAAGUGCAAAAACUAAAAUCCAUGGGACUGUUUCAGUUUCAGUUAUCAUCUGCUCAACACUGGAAAUCAAAAUAACCUCAAUCGAUCUCAAAACAACCUCUCAACCUGCAAGGAAAUGGCUGAGAACUUUAUAUGAGUUUUAAUAUACUCUAGUGAUGGUAUUGUAAUUUGGAGGAUGGCCAAAGUGAUACAGGAGAACAGGAGGCACUGACUGGUCAGAGAAAAGUUGUAUAAAUAAUGCAUGAUAUAUGUGCCUGAGUGGUGACAGUGCUUUAUGAGCCCACCACAGGAGCGGCACUUAGCUGGGUGGACCAGGAGCCACCAAAAAACAAAUAAGGUAGCUGGGGCAAAUUAAAGUUAAGAAGUUUCUCACAUAUACCACUAAACCAAUCUAAAUAAACUCCCAGCAACAAAACAGUUAAUGAAAAUAUUACAACAGCAAGUUUCAGGUUGACUUGCUGAAGACACUUCUGGCAAACAAGGUAGUUGCAGAAAUCAUUUAACGUAACUCCACUCGUUGGUGUUUGAAGAGAAGAGGACAGGACCCUUCGGGUGGGGCAGUUAUGAUAUAUUGUUCCCCUGCAAAGAGUCGCACCAGAAUAAGAUUUUAGCCUAAUAAUGUGGACAGGAGUGUCGUCCUUAUUCCUUACCCCAAUUCAGCAAGCCAUGUGUCUCCUAUUUCAGGUGACAGACAGGUGUCUAGCAGGCAGAUCCCACUGCAUGAAAAAGAUGGAAGGUGUUUGCCUUCGCUAAUUUGUCUGGUUGUCAAGCUCAGUUAUUACCCACCAUUGGGUCCCAGAGCAAGGAGUGAAUGCUUUGCUGAGGUUUACUGGUCUUCAUGACAACCCCUCUCCAGUGAUGCACUGUUAAAAGUGUAAAGCCAUCAGAGCAGGGACUAUAACAUGUAUUAGAAAUGUGACAAUUCACACCUCAUAAUUAAAUUGACAGAUUAAAGAAGGGUUCCUUUUAUAAAAUGAAAAUGAGGAGUACAGCGUGGUAAGAGGUAAUCUGUCUUUUACUAGAAAUAAAAGACCUGAAUCAUGAAUUCUUGUGGUUGAACAGAAUAAGAUCCUAUCCAAUGCUUAUGAUGUUAUAUGUGAAUGUUGGAUGGAAACAAGAAGACUUACAUUUAUUCUAUGCCAUGUACUGUAAUGGUAAUCUAAAAAAAUCUUUCCUUUGUCCUGAUUUAAAAGUAAAUCAUAUCAGGCCAGAGAAAAUAUGGAAGUAAGAGAUUUUGUGAACACUGGGUGUGUCCAUAUAUAUUAUCUUAUAAUGCUAACAGCUUAUGAGGAUGUAGAAGAGGAGCUAUUUCUUCUCCAGAUGACUUUAAAGUAUUAAUUUUUUUGAAUGCUCUUCAAUAAAAUUGGUAGUUCCAAAGAAUUUGACUUAGAAAAUUAAGAGUUUUCUGAAAAAAAACCCAUUCUUUUUGGGCUUCUUUUUUAGCUAGUUAUGCUUAGAUGAGAGUAGAACUUGCCCUCAAAGUUAUUAAAACUAUGUAUGUUUUGGAGGGUAAAUAAUUUCUAACAGCAUCUAUAAACCAUAGUAUUUACAUUCUUGAUCUGUAUAUAUUUGCUCACAGGUCUGACUAUAUUAAAAACAAAAACCACAAAAGAAAACAAAGGAGUCACAGAGGCAAAGUAUUAUCCAUAUCUGUAGAUAUACACCAUAAACUUUUUAUAUCAAAUUAGCGGCUUUUUUCCCAGUACUUCUAUUUUUCAUGCUUUGUUUUUCUAAAUCAGAGUGCUUCAGUUCAGGAUCUCGGUAUGUGAUGGUGGAACACCUCCAGGAAGAGAGAUGGUAAACAAUGCUUCCUAGGCUAGUUGAGAGCCAGUGGGGCAGAACACUCAUUUUGGUAAUGAGAUAAUAUCACCAUCAGAUCUUAAGUAGGAGCCUCCAGCAUCAGAGUCUUCAAUACCGUGCUACUUGCAAUUAAAUCUUUGUGGUCUGUUUGGUGUUUUCCUGAACGUAUUAAAUCUUUUCUCACCGAGAUGUUCUCAAGAACUGCUGUGCUCUUGAUGAUAUGAUUCAUUUGACAGCAUUUCCAGAUUUCUUAAAAAAAAAGAAAAAAAAAAAAGAAAGAAAACUUCAGUUUACUCUAGGCUAUUUUAGUAAUAUAUCACACACUGACAUUUUAAAUAAAUUUGAUAGACUGUAAGUAUAUAUGUGUCCCAUGGUCACCAUGAUAAUUCUGUUAUCCACUUAAAAACUAUGCUUCAAAAAGCAUUAAAUAAGCUUAAAAUGGAUGUAAAAAUGAAAAAAGUUAAACCCUUUUCAUCUGUUUUCUGUUCUUCUUGACCAUGCAAUUGUAUCACAUUUUUAAACUUUAACUUUUACACCCAUGAUAGAUUGAAAUGUACUUGAUUUUUGUUAAUAAAGGUGGGAUUUUCUUCUGC